GGGUAAACUAGAUUCUUCACUGUGGAAUUUCUCUGGGUCUUUAAUAUGCUAAUAAGCAUUGAGAGUCACUGAGAGUAAGUCGGAAUUUGCACACAUGCUGAAAUAAUUUGCAACCUUUUCAUUUAGAGGGCUCAAGUGUUUUCCAAGACAUAUUUGGGAAGCCCAGUUAUAAAAAACAACUAAUAUUUAAUAUUACUGUGCUAACUGUCUGAGAUGAAUUAUUUCAUUUAAUCUAAAUGACGAUCCUAUGAGUGAGGUUCUUUUGUUUCUUUCUUUGCACAGAUGGAGAAAUUAAGGCAUUGAAAAGUCACUUGCCCCAGAUGACACAGCUAGUGGACAGUCGAGGAAAUGUGGGCUCUGGAGCUGAAUCACGAUCUAGAUUCAAAUCUUGGUCCUGCCAUUUGCUGUUGGGACAUGUUUAGAGGGCAUCCCAGGAGAAGGCAGAGUCCAGGAGGCGGAUGUUGGGAAGCAAAUCCUGAACUCAUCAAGUCCCAUAGCCCCUUUGUCUGUGGACCUUCUGCCAGCAUAUUCUGUAAGGUACGUUCUUUUACCCAUGGUUGAGUACCACUGUGCACCAUGCUAGGUACUAAGAACAGAUUGAUAAACUAAUAG
rnacentral:lncRNA from 1 species